GCUCAGGAUGAACGCUGGCGGCGUGCUUAACACAUGCAAGUCGAACGAUGAACCGGUGCUUGCACUGGGGAUUAGUGGCGAACGGGUGAGUAACACGUGAGUAACCUGCCCUUGACUCUGGGAUAAGCCUGGGAAACUGGGUCUAAUACCGGAUAUGACUGACUAUCGCAUGGUGGUUGGUGGAAAGCUUUUGUGGUUUUGGAUGGACUCGCGGCCUAUCAGCUUGUUGGUGAGGUAAUGGCUUACCAAGGCGACGACGGGUAGCCGGCCUGAGAGGGUGACCGGCCACACUGGGACUGAGACACGGCCCAGACUCCUACGGGAGGCAGCAGUGGGGAAUAUUGCACAAUGGGCGCAAGCCUGAUGCAGCGACGCCGCGUGAGGGAUGACGGCCUUCGGGUUGUAAACCUCUUUCAGUAGGGAAGAAGCGAAAGUGACGGUACCUGCAGAAGAAGCGCCGGCUAACUACGUGCCAGCAGCCGCGGUAAUACGUAGGGCGCAAGCGUUAUCCGGAAUUAUUGGGCGUAAAGAGCUCGUAGGCGGUUUGUCGCGUCUGCCGUGAAAGUCCGGGGCUCAACUCCGGAUCUGCGGUGGGUACGGGCAGACUAGAGUGAUGUAGGGGAGACUGGAAUUCCUGGUGUAGCGGUGAAAUGCGCAGAUAUCAGGAGGAACACCGAUGGCGAAGGCAGGUCUCUGGGCAUUAACUGACGCUGAGGAGCGAAAGCAUGGGGAGCGAACAGGAUUAGAUACCCUGGUAGUCCAUGCCGUAAACGUUGGGCACUAGGUGUGGGGGACAUUCCACGUUUUCCGCGCCGUAGCUAACGCAUUAAGUGCCCCGCCUGGGGAGUACGGCCGCAAGGCUAAAACUCAAAGGAAUUGACGGGGGCCCGCACAAGCGGCGGAGCAUGCGGAUUAAUUCGAUGCAACGCGAAGAACCUUACCAAGGCUUGACAUGAACCGGACCGGGCUGGAAACGGGCUUUCCCCUUUGGGGCUGGGUUACAGGGGGUGCAUGGUUGUCCUCAGCUUCUUGCCUGAGAAUUUGGGUUAAUUCCGCAACUAACGCCACCCUUGUUCUAUGUUGCCCACACCUGAUGGUGGGGACUCAUAAGAAAACUGCCGGGGUCCACUCGGAAGAAGGGGGGGACCAAUUCCAAUCAUCUAGGCCCCUUAAUUCCUGGGUCUUCACUAUGCUCAUUGGGCCGUUACAUAUGGGUUGCAUCUGUGUAGGUGGAGCUAAUUCCUAAUAAAGUCUGGUUUUCUUCUGAUUUUGGGUCUGCAAACUCCGACCCCAUGAAGUCGUGAUC
rnacentral:rRNA from 1 species